UACGGAGGGUGCAAGCGUUAUCCGGAUUCACUGGGUUUAAAGGGUGCGUAGGUGGGAAUGUAAGUCAGUGGUGAAAUCUCUGGGCUUAACCCGGAAACUGCCAUUGAUACUAUGUUUCUUGAAUCUUCUGGAGGUCAGCGGAAUAUGUCAUGUAGCGGUGAAAUGCUUAGAUAUGACAUAGAACACCAAUUGCGAAGGCAGCUGACUACGGGAGUAUUGACACUGAGGCACGAAAGCGUGGGGAUCAAACAGG
rnacentral:rRNA from 1 species